AGUGAACGCUGGCGGUAGGCCUAACACAUGCAAGUCGAACGGCAGCACAGUAAGAGCUUGCUCUUACGGGUGGCGAGUGGCGGACGGGUGAGGAAUACAUCGGAAUCUACUUUUUCGUGGGGGAUAACGUAGGGAAACUUACGCUAAUACCGCAUACGACCUACGGGUGAAAGCAGGGGAUCUUCGGACCUUGCGCGACUGAAUGAGCCGAUGUCGGAUUAGCUAGUUGGCGGGGUAAAGGCCCACCAAGGCGACGAUCCGUAGCUGGUCUGAGAGGAUGAUCGGCCACACUGGAACUGAGACACGGUCCAGACUCCUACGGGAGGCAGCAGUAGGGAAUAUUGGACAAUGGGCGCAAGCCUGAUCCAGCCAUACCGCGUGAGUGAAGAAGGCCUUCGGGUUGUAAAGCCCUUUUGUUAGGAAAGAAAAGCAGCAGGUUAAUACCCCGCUGUUCUGACGGUACCCAAAGAAUAAGCACCGGCUAACUUCGUG
rnacentral:rRNA from 1 species